CGGCGUAAAGCGUGGUUAAGAUACUUAUUAAAUAGGGCCGAAUAGUCUCAAGGCAGUCAAAUAUAUCCGAGACCACGAAGCACAUCCACGAAGGUGGCCCUAACACCCACUGACCCCACGAAAGCCAUAACACAAACUGGGAUUAGAUACCCCACUAUGUAUGGCCAUCAAAAUUGAUGGUACUUCACUCGAACCAUCCGCCCGGGAACUACGAGCCCUAGCUUAAAACCCAAAGGACCUGGCGGUGCUUUAGAUCCCCCUAGAGGAGCCUGUCCUGUAACUGACAACCCCCGUUAAACCUCACCACCCUUUGUUAAUUCCGCUUAUAUACCACCGUCGUAAGCUUACCCUAUUGAAGGUUAAAAAGUAGGCACUAAUAGUAAUACUAGAGACGUCAGGUCGAGGUGUAGCGUAUAGGGUGGGAAGAGAUGGGCUACAUUCCCUGAUGAAGAGAAUACGAACGGUGAUUUGAAAAAAUUACACUGAAGGAGGAUUUAGUAGUAAGGAAGGAACAGAGUGCCCUACUGAAAAUGGCUCUAAAGCGCGUACAGACCGCCCGUCACUCUCUCCAAAACAAAUUCC
rnacentral:rRNA from 1 species